rnacentral:rRNA from 1 species
GACGAACGCUGGCGGCGUGCUUAACACAUGCAAGUCGAACGGAGCGAAUGAAAGCUUGCUUUUAUAAGCUUAGUGGCAAACGGGUGAUAACACGUAGGCAACCUGCCGACAGGAUGGGGACAACAUUCCGAAAGGAAUGCUAAUACCGAAUGAAGCGCAGGGGAGGCAUCUCUCCUGCGUGAAAGAUGGCCUCUAUAUAUAAGCUAUCACCUGUCGAUGGGCCUGCGUCUGAUUAGCUGGUAGGUGAGGUAACGGCUCACCUAGGCGACGAUCAGUAGCCGGUCUGAGAGGAUGAACGGCCACAUUGGGACUGAGACACGGCCCAGACUCCUACGGGAGGCAGCAGUGGGGAAUCUUCCGCAAUGGGCGCAAGCCUGACGGAGCAACGCCGCGUGAGUGAAGAAGGUCUUCGGAUCGUAAAGCUCUGUUGAUGGGGACGAACGUGCCUAAUGCGAAUAGUAUUAGGUAAUGACGGACCCAUCGAGAGCCCCG